rnacentral:rRNA from 1 species
AGAGUUUGAUCCUGGCUCAGGAUGAACGCUAGCUACAGGCUUAACACAUGCAAGUCGAGGGGAAACGACAUCGAAAGCUUGCUUUUGAUGGGCGUCGACCGGCGCACGGGUGAGUAACGCGUAUCCAACCUGCCCAUCACUUGGGGAUAACCUUGCGAAAGUAAGACUAAUACCCAAUGAUAUCUCUAGAAGACAUCUGAAAGAGAUUAAAGAUUUAUCGGUGAUGGAUGGGGAUGCGUCUGAUUAGCUUGUUGGCGGGGUAAUGGCCCACCAAGGCUACGAUCAGUAGGGGUUCUGAGAGGAAGGUCCCCCANAUUGGAACUGAGACACGGUCCAAACUCCUACGGGAGGCA